GGGUCCCAACGCCGAAUCCUCCCCCACCCUGGGGUCCCAGUGCAGGAAAUGGGACUUUGUUCUCUUUGUCCUGAAAGCCUGCCACCCAAACACAGGGUUUCCCACAACUGACUAUAGGGGGUCUUCUUCCCAGGAGCAUUUGUGCCUGGGAGCCAUGCGAAUGGGAGUGCAAAUGUUCUAAUUGAUUGGUGUGAAUGUUUUAAUGGGGCACCUGGGAGGUCCUC